AGUAACAAUGAUAUUUUGUGAGAAACAUUGAACUAUGAACGUAGCUCAUAUGCAUUGAACCAAACGUGAUAUAUGGUCUUCUAAUUGGGAUACAUGCGAGUUGAGUACAUAUAACUAAGGCUGGCACAAUUACCAUACCACCAGGGAACCGACGGUUAUAGAUGAAGAUAGUUAUUGUAAUACAAUGACAAUCAUAACCAUUUAAAAAAAAUAUACAUUUGUUUUUCUUCAAAUUAACUGUUGAGUCUUUGUAGUAACAUGGACUGUUCCUGAAACUAGCAAACAAGUCUCCGGGUGGCCUAGACAAUGCUACCCACAAUGCAGCAGCAACACAGAGAAAUAGAGUAAAUAGAACAGGCUUGGAACCUCUAUUUACCAGGUUCCAAGCCUGUUCUAUUCAUUCUAUUUACCAGUCAUAUUACCAGGGUUAUAUGUUCUAUUCAUUCUAUUUACCAGUCAUAUUACCAGGGUUAUAGGUUCUAUUCAUUCUAUUUACCAGGGUUAGAGGUUCUAUUCAUUCUAUUUACCAGUCAUAUUACCAGGGUUAGAGUUUCUAUUCAUUCUAUUUACCAGUCAUAUUACCAGGGUUACAGGUUCUAUUCAUUCUAUUUACCAGUCAUAUUACCAGGGUUAGAGGUUCUAUUCAUUCUAUUUACCAGUCAUAUUACCAGGGUUAUAGGUUCUAUUCAUUCUAUUUACCAGGGUUAGAGGUUCUAUUCAUUCUAUUUACCAGUCAUAUUACCAGGGUUAGAGGUUCUAUUCAUUCUAUUUACCAGUCAUAUUACCAGGGUUAGAGGUUCUAUUCAUUCUAUUUACCAGGGUUAGAGGUUCUAUUCAUUCUAUUUACCAGGGUUAGAGGUUCUAUUCAUUCUAUUUACCAGUCAUAUUACCAGGGUUAGAGGUUCUAUUCAUUCUAUUUACCAGUCAUAUUACCAGGGUUACAGGUUCUAUUCAUUCUAUUUACCAGUCAUAUGACCAGGGUUAUAGGUUCUAUUCAUUCUAUUUACCAGUCAUAUUACCAGGGUUACAGGUUCUAUUCAUUCUAUUUACCAGUCAUAUUACCAGGGUUACAGGUUCUAUUCAUUCUAUUUACCAGUCAUAUUACAGGUUCUAUUCAUUCUAUUUACCAGGGUUAGAGGUUCUAUUCAUUAUAUUUACCAGUCAUAUUACCAGGGUUACAGGUUCCAAGACUGUUCUAUUCAUUCUAUUUACCAGUCAUAUUACAGGUUCUAUUCAUUCUAUUUACCAGGGUUAGAGGUUCUAUUCAUUCUAUUUACCAGUCAUAUUACCAGGGUUACAGUGGCCAAUGACUGGUAACCUCAUGUGUACACUCGCAAUGGCUGCCUGGUAUUGUGAUGCAAUCAUUUAAAUGGUAAUGUAGAAAGUUCAUUCAAAUGAUGCUUACUGAUGUGGCUCAUGCAACGGAAUGUAUUUUUUUGUAAUAGUUGAAUCAAAUCACAGCACAUAGAUGGGUACACUUCCUGCUUGCCCCUACGUGUCCACUCGCAAUGGCCACCACUUCACCCAUUAUAUCAUCAGUGUUAACAUUAACAAUAUCGAGUCGUCUGUAAAAACGUGUAACCUGCACCGGUAUGCAGAUGAUACUGUUGUGCCAUUGCUCCCACGGUUGACCAAGCUCAACAUUAUCUACGGUCUGCCUUCUUUUGUAUUACAGAAAAUCGCUGACCUUAAAUGAGUAUUGACUGCAGGUAAAACUAACUAGAUGGGGUCUCUAGAGUGCAUAUACAACUGAUGAUUUAAGCUGAUGGUGUUCAUAUCGGGAUAGAUCAAAGGCUAGCAGUCUUUUAAAAAGCAUAUUGACGAGUUAAGAAGCUGAGAAUAAAUAUGGGCUUUAUAGAAAUAGGUGCUGCCUCUAGUUAAACAGUAGAAGGCAGAUUAUGACGGUCGACAUGACCAUCGGUCCUAGACUAUGGCGACAUGUAUAUGAACGCAGCUGCCACUUCAUUAAAGCCGUUAGAUGCUGUUUAACAAAGCACACUGCACAUUGUUAUGGGGGACAAUUUUAGUACUCAUCACUGCAUUCACUACCAGAAAGUAGUGGUCCUUCUGUAGCUCAGUUGGUAGAGCAUGGCGCUUGUAACGCCAGGGUAGUGGGUUCGAUUCCCGGGACCACCCAUACAUAGAAUGUAUGCACACAUGACUGUAAGUCGCUUUGGAUAAAAGCGUCUGCUAAAUGGCAUAUAUUAUUAAUAUAUUGCUAUGUCUCCAUUUAUAAAGACAUUUGACAUAAAGUCCCACUGUAUCUAACAUCUUUACUAAACUUCAGACGAGUCACCACAGCCGGUCUUAGACAACCGCCAAGUCCGGAAAUUCCUUUCGUCUCUACGGACUAAUUGGCCUGAAUUUCUUGCACCUUAUUUGUGUAACAAUCUUCUAAAAUGUUCUUACAUUUGAUGUUUUGUUGCUUCUUGGGUAAUUCAGAAACUCGAUUGAGGACCUUAUUACCGAUGAAUGUGGGGGGGGGGGUUAGUGGCCAAUUACUGCCAUCCUAAAGUCCAUGACAGUCACAACCCUAUCUAGUUAUUGAUCAGAUAUAAUAGUUCCGAUGACAUGUGCUGUUAGGGUUUCUUCAUCAGCCAACCAACCAUAAGGUCAAAAUGCCCCCAGUGUAACCAUUCAACUUGCUGUCUGGCUAACGCUUUAUUAGCCUGUUAGCUGGCAAGACGGUUAAUAUAACACAUGCUAUCUGGAGUCUGUCAAUUGUUAACAACUAAAGCUUCAGGAACUACAACAUUGUAUGUUUGGCCAAGUUCCUAACAGAUAUAUACGGGCGACUUUGACAGUUUGUAAAAACGUGUAAACACGUGUUGCACUAAGCCCAGACUGCGCCAUGCGUUCAC